AACGGUCUAUACCUGCGGUACCUGCGGAAGGAUCAUUAUAGAGUGGUAAACCCUCCGUAAAAGGGGGGGACCUCCUGUCCUUUGUAGGCUCUUUUUUAAAGGGCUUUUUUAAUUUUCUGCUUCGGUGGGGUUAUCCCACCGGAACAACCUCAAAACUCUGAUCAAAAAAAUCGUUCUGUCUGAGAACCUUUUAUAAUAAAAAAAACUUUCAACAACGGAUCUCUAGAUCGGAAGAGCACA
rnacentral:misc_RNA from 1 species